UACGUAGGGGGCAAGCGUUGUCCGGAAUCAUUGGGCGUAAAGAGCGCGUAGGCGGUCCGCGAAGUCUGAUGUGAAAGCCCCGGGCUCAACCUGGGAACUGCAUUGGAAACUAACGGGCUCGAGUGUGGCAGAGGGGGGGUGGAAUUCCACGUGUAGCAGUGAAAUGCGUAGAGAUGUGGAGGAACACCGAUGGCGAAGGCAGCCCCCCUGGGCUAACACUGACGCUCAGGCACGAAAGCGUGGGGAGCAAACAGG
rnacentral:rRNA from 1 species